rnacentral:rRNA from 1 species
AUACGUAGGGAGCGAGCGUUGUCCGGAAUUACUGGGCGUAAAGGGCGCGUAGGCGGCGCUUCAAGUCGUCUGUCAAAUGGAAGGGCUUAACCCUUUUUCGCAGACGAAACUGGAGAGCUUGAGAAGCAGAGAGGCAAACAGAAUUCCUGGUGUAGCGGUGAAAUGCGUAGAUAUCAGGAAGAAUACCAGUGGCGAAGGCGGUUUGCUGGCUGCAUACUGACGCUGAAGCGCGAAAGCCAGGGGAGCGAACGGGAUUAGAUACCCCGGUAGUCCUGGCAGUAAACGAUGUAUGCUGGGUGUGAGACUAGCGAUAGUUUCGUGCCGAAGUUAACGCGAUAAGCAUACCGCCUGGGGAGUACGGCCGCAAGGUUGAAACUUAAAGGAAUUGGCGGGG